CUGUCCAGGCAAGGAGCUUCUUAGGCAAUAGAAAAUCAGUCCUCUCCUGAACUGCAUCUGACUGAUAAUCUCAUAUAUUGACUUAAAAAUGUGCAGUAUAUAGAUUAAGAAAUGUAAGAGUUUAUAGUCUUCGAAUCAGUGUACCUAGAAUUUCCUUGCUCCACCACUCAUGUUGGGAAAAUUAAGGGCACUUUCUUCAACUAGGAGACCUUUGCCAGAGCAUGUGAAGACCUUCUUGGCAAACACCAGCCAUGCUCACUUCUCA